rnacentral:rRNA from 1 species
CACCGCCCGUCACAUCACGAAAGCCAGUUGUACUAGAAGCCGGCAAUUCAACCACAAGGAGAUAGCCGUCCAAGGUAUGACUGGUGAUUGGGGUG